UUGAUGCAAUGAUGAGAGCAUAGUUCAGCAGAAUAAACCAUGAAGAAUAUGCUAUGUCUUUCGCUCCUAGCUGAUGUGUCAA